GCCCAGAUAGCUCAGUCGGUAGAGCACCUGACUUUUAAUCAGGGUGUCCCGCGUUCGAGUCGCGGAUAGAUCACCA
rnacentral:tRNA from 1 species